CGAAAGCCUGACGGAGCAAUACCGCGUGAGGGAAGAAGGCUUUUGGGUUGUAAACCUCUUUUGUCAGGGAAGAAGAAUUGACGGUACCUGAAGAAAAAGCAUCGGCUAACUCCGUGCCAGCAGCCGCGGUAAUACGGAGGAUGCAAGCGUUAUCCGGAAUCAUUGGGCGUAAAGGGUCCGCAGGUGGCGAAUAAAGUCUGCUGUUAAAGACCGGGGCUUAACUCCGGAAAGGCAGUGGAAACUGAUUAGCUAGAGUACGGUAGGGGUAGAGGGAAUUCCCAGUGUAGCGGUGAAAUGCGUAGAUAUUGGGAAGAACACCGGUGGCGAAAGCGCUCUACUAGGCCGAAACUGACACUGAGGGACGAAAGCUAGGGUAGCGAAAGGGAUUAGAUACCCCUGUAGUCUUAGCGGUAAACGAUGGAUACUAGGUGUAGCUUGUAUCGACCCGAGCUGUGCCGAAGCUAACGCGAUAAGUAUCCCGCCUGGGGAGUACGCACGCAAGUGUGAAACUCAAAGGAAUUGACGGGGGCCCGCACAAGCGGUGGAGUAUGUGGUUUAAUUCGAUGCAACGCGAAGAACCUUACCAGGGCUUGACAUGUCGCGAAUCUAGCGGAAACGUUAGAGUGCCUUAGGGAAUGCGAACACAGGUGGUGCAUGGCUGUCGUCAGCUCGUGUCGUGAGAUGUUGGGUUAAGUCCCGCAACGAGCGCAACCCUCGUCCUUAGUUGCCAAUAUUAAGUUAGGCACUCUAGGGAGACUGCCGGGGACAACUCGGAGGAAGGUGGGGAUGACGUCAAGUCAGCAUGCCCCUUACGUCCUGGGCUACACACGUACUACAAUGGUUGGGACAAAGGGCAGCAAGCUCGCGAGAGUAAGCGAAUCUCAUCAAACCCAGCCACAGUUCAGAUUGCAGGCUGCAACUCGCCUGCAUGAAGUAGGAAUCGCUAGUAAUCGCAGGUCAGCAUACUGCGGUGAAUUCGUUCCCGGGCCUUGUACACACCGCCCGUCACACCAUGGAAGCUGGCUACGCCCGAAGUCGUUACCCUAACCCGGUUUUGGGAGGGGGAUGCCGAAGGUAGAGCUAGUGACUGGGGUGAAGUCGUAACAAGGUAGCCGUACCGGAAGGUGUGGCUGGAUCACCUCCUUU
rnacentral:rRNA from 1 species